ACGCUCGACACCUACAGGAGGCAGCAGUGGGGAAUAUUGCACAAUGGGGGAAACCCUGAUGCAGCGACGCCGCGUGAGCGAAGAAGUAUUUCGGUAUGUAAAGCUCUAUCAGCAGGGAAGAAACUGACGGUACCUGACUAAGAAGCACCGGCUAAAUACGUGCCAACAGCCGCGGUAAUCUGAGCGGGCUGGCAAGGC
rnacentral:rRNA from 1 species